rnacentral:rRNA from 1 species
CCUACGGGUGGCUGCAGUGGGGAAUAUUGGACAAUGGGCGCAAGCCUGAUCCAGCCAUGCCGCGUGAGUGAUGAAGGCCCUAGGGUUGUAAAGCUCUUUUGUGCGGGAAGAUAAUGACGGUACCGCAAGAAUAAGCCCCGGCUAACUUCGUGCCAGCAGCCGCGGUAAUACGAAGGGGGCUAGCGUUGCUCGGAAUCACUGGGCGUAAAGGGUGCGUAGGCGGAUCUUUAAGUCAGAGGUGAAAGCCUGGAGCUCAACUCCAGAACUGCCUUUGAUACUGGGGAUCUCGAGUUCGGGAGAGGUGAGUGGAACUGCGAGUGUAGAGGUGAAAUUCGUAGAUAUUCGCAAGAACACCAGUGGCGAAGGCGGCUCACUGGCCCGAUACUGACGCUGAGGCACGAAAGCGUGGGGAGCAAACAGGAUUAGAUACCCCUGUAGUC